rnacentral:lncRNA from 1 species
ACACAACGCAGACGACACCUUGUUAUAAAACACAGUACGUUUUUUAUUAUCAGUCAAAAUUACAACAUCAGAUCAAGCGUUUUAACCCCGUCCUACUGGCGUUAAAACUCUCAAAGGAGAAAGUGUAGGAUACCUAGAAAAUAAAGACGCUCAGAAGGAGGAAGUGUAGGAUAUCUAGAAAAUAAAGACUCUCGGAAGGAGGAAGUGUAGGAUAUCUAGAAAAUAAAGACGCUCGGAAGGAGGAAGUGUAGGAUAUCUAGAAAAUAAAGACUCUCGGAAGGAGGAAGUGUAGGAUAUCUAGAAAAUAAAGACUCUCGGAAGGAGAAAGUGUAGGAUAUCUAGAAAAUAAAGACGCUCAGAAGGAGGAAGUGUAGGAUAUCUAGAAAAUAAAGACGCUCGGAAGGAGAAAGUGUAGGAUAUCUAGAAAAUAAAGACGCUCAGAUUUGAAAAUCAGAGGUUUUCCUAACAGCCUAAUCGAGGUGUUUUACAAGGCUACAUGUAAAUCCUUCUGCUGACCUUAACUAGUUGCUUAUCAACAGGGACGGCAGCGUAGCCUAGUGGUUAGUUUAGCGCGUUGGACUAGUAACCGAAAGGUUGCAAGAUCGAAUCCCCGAGCUGACAAGGUACAAAUCUGUCGUUCUGCCCCCUGAACAAGGCAGUUAACCCACUGUUCCCCGGUAGACCGUCAUUGUAAAUAAUAAGAAUUUGUUCUUAACUGACUUGCCUGGUUAAAGGUUAAACAAACAUUUAAAACAGAGAAUGACUAUCCAAACUAAGCGAGACCAGGAUUUAUCUUAACGCCGCUCCGUGCAGCCAUCGGAUAAACCCCAGGAGCCCCUCUGGACGGCUCUUAUUAACGCCGCUCCUCCGCUGUCAAAACGUCAGCUGAAAACCCCCAUCUGAUUGGAUCUACAGUAACUAGACCUUCCCUGAGCGAGACGCCGAACACAUUGACUUACCAACAUCCUGGUUACUAACGGGGAGGCUGGGGGAUUCAAUCCAAUUACAGGUGGUUACUAACGGGGAGGCUGGGGGAUUCAAUCCAAUUACAGGUGGUUACUAACGGGGAGGCUGGGGGAUUCAAUCCAAUUACAGGUGGUUACUAACGGGGAGGCUGGGGGAUUCAAUCCAAUUACGGGUGGUUACUAACGGGGAGGCUGGGGGAUUCAAUCCAAUUACGGGUGGUUACUAACGGGGAGGCUGGGGGAUUCAAUCCAAUUACAGGUGGUUACUAACGGGGAGGCUGGGGGAUUCAAUCCAAUUACAGGUGGUUACUAACGGGGAGGCUGGGGGAUUCAAUCCAAUUACAGGUGGUUACUAACGGGGAGGCUGGGGGAUUCAAUCCAAUUACAGGUGGUUACUAACGGGGAGGCUGGGGGAUUAAAUCCAAUUACGGGUGGUUACUAACGGGGAGGCUGGGGGAUUCAAUCCAAUUACGGGUGGUUACUAACGGGGAGGCUGGGGGAUUCAAUCCAAUUACGGGUGGUUACUAACGGGGAGGCUGGGGGAUUCAAUCCAAUUACGGCUUGUAGACAACAACAACAACAAAAAGCAAUGUUUGCAGUCAUGUAAAGGCUGUUAUCGGUCGACGGGGGAAAUGUAUAUUUUAACAACUGCAUCAACAGCUGUCCAGCUCGCUGCUCAACAGAGAGAAUCCUGGUCUGAAUGAAUGUCCCCAGGCCAGAUAGAUUAUUACAGAGGGGAUCAGCAGGUCCUACAUCAGUGUGAAUGACACCCCCUCUUCCACUCUCAACACAGGAGGGAGGGAGGGAGGAGGGAGG